AAAAAAGAGACGUGAGGUUUGGAUGGUCUGGCUUUUAGGCAAUCAGUUCUUAAUUUUUGUUGUACCCUUCACAACCUAUAUCUUAAAGUUUUCCUCUGAUUGUAUAGGCUGGAUUUCCUUUGAAGUGAUAUAAACAUAACUUAUGGUUGAUCAAAUCUUAUCGUGACCAAAUCUCACUAGCUGUUAACAAGUAAAAAAACUUAAUCAGUAAAGACCAUUAUAAAAGCUACAACAUAUUGGUACAAAAUAUCAAAAAAAGUUAUAUGCGAUUUUUUUUUGGCAGUGGUGUCCGCAGAAAAAAUGGAAAAAAAAGGAGAUAUUUUGACAGCCUACUUUCUAGGCAACCACCUCAUAAUGUUCCCUGUUCCUUCCUCAACCUAUAUCUUAAGGUUUAAUGGAAAUAAUAUCUGAGCCUUCCUAUAUUUUAUAUGUUUUGUGUUUUUUUAAUAUUAC
rnacentral:lncRNA from 1 species